GUCUUUUCAAAACAUUUCAUAUCCCGCCGCUUCACUGCUCUUAUCUCUCUCUGGCGAUUCAGGAACACCACUUCUCAAACCCUAAUCCUAAUUGCACCACUCAUUUCCGUCACUUUAUUCAUUUCUCUUUAUCUCUCUCUCUUGAUUUCCUCUGGUUCCAUCAUAUCUUCUUCAAUAUUCAUUUCAUUUAAGGUGGAUUACUGUUAAUAUUUACACAUAUGAUGGUGUGGUGGUGUUUUUGAUGUCGAAUGUUAUUUUAAGGCAGGUCCUUUAGGGUUUGGGUUUGCUACGAAGUCGACUCAGAAGUUUAGAAAGAUGGAGCCAAAUGGGCUUAUGGUUAGUCGCCAAGAAAAACCGGAGAAUAUUUGAGGAAUCAGGACGAGAUUUCAUCUCGGAUCGGUGGAUGGUUCAAAGAAUCUAGGGUUUUGAUGUCAGGACCACAAGGUGAAAAACGAAGAUCAAAGUUGAUUUGAGUCCCUUAACGAUUUCAGAUCUCUAUUGACCCUCACCCUAGAAUCAAAUCCAUUUUUACUCGACCUCCAUCAGGUAAUGAUGAUUUGGAGGGUAAAAGUGAAGAUGACUUCUCUGACCGUACUUAAAGCAAGUUGAAGUUUGCACCAGAUAAGGUGAUGCAAGUGUUGUUUAGAUGGUUGGCUGGAAAUCCUUCCCACAAAUGGGAUAUAAUGGCUCAGUAUGGUUAAUAGCAAGUCCUGCUGACCCUUGGUCUGAAGAUUAUGGAUACUCAAAAGAGAAACCAAGUGAGUUCGGGUGAAGAGGCUUUGGCAAAGAUCCCACAGUUGAAACUAGCUUUCUGCCAGACAGCAUACUCUUUCAAUGAGAGAGAGGCAGAGGAGCAAAGUUGAGCAUGAAAGGUUGCGGAAACAAUGGCUACGUGAGCAAGAGUGCUAGGAGAGCAUGAAAAGUUAUAUUUUGUAGGUUCGAAAGGGAGAUACUAUUUGCGAGUUCCUACAUGCUGUUUUGCAGCAACUUGCAUCUGAAUUUUGACUUUAUGUUGUCCUCGUUUUACAUUCGCACACUGGUAGAGUUGUUGAGAGGCACUGGUAUGAGAAGAACAAGCACAUAUUUCCUGCUUCAAGAUGGGAGGUAGAUAAUGGUUGCACCAGGCACUUAAUUCCAACCUUGUAUGAUGAUGAUUGGGAUGUUCUUAUAGCAUUUUCUUGGCUUGGUAAGUCUCUCAAUUGCGAAAGAAGGUUUAUUUAGUCUUUCAAAGUAUGUGGCAUACCCAUAUAGCAUGAUCUAUAGACGGGCUAGCUAAUCUUUUUUAUAAUGGUAUGACAAUAAGCAUGGUGCUGACUUGUUUUGUUCACUCAAGAUCAUGCUGGUCAUAAAUUUGGUAUUCAGUUCAAAUGAUUGAUAAACUGCAAUAGUAUAAUGAACAGUUAGAGGUAUGUCUUAUUGUCUACAAAUAUUACGUCUGCAAAGUUACAUAAAUUAUAGACAAUUGGAGCAAAAACUAAAGGAAAGUCCCAGAGGUUUAGUUUCUGGGCUUAAGGAUAUUUUAUAUCAAUUUUACUUUUUAGAGUAAAUUAUGAUUUUGGCCCCUAACACUAACCCUAUCCAUUAAAUGUUAGGGGCCAAAAGGGUUAGCAAAAAAGACGUCAGGGGCCAAAAAGGUUAGAAAAAAGACGUUGG